UCCUGCUUAACUCAGUUGGUAGAGUGCUCCACUGGAAAUGGAGAUCUGGUCCCUGGUUCGACACCAGGACCAGGCG
rnacentral:tRNA from 2 species